rnacentral:tRNA from 4 species
GAAGUAAGAAAUUCAAAAAGAAGCUUCUAACUUACUUUUUAAGCGUUGAAAUACGUUUUUACUUCU